rnacentral:rRNA from 1 species
UGGGGAAUAUUGGACAAUGGGCGCAAGCCUGAUCCAGCCAUGCCGCGUGAGUGACGAAGGUCUUCGGAUUGUAAAACUCUUUUGGCGGGGACGAUAAUGACGGUACCCGCAGAAUAAGCCCCGGCUAACUUCGUGCCAGCAGCCGCGGUAAUACGAAGGGGGCUAGCGUUGUUCGGAAUCACUGGGCGUAAAGCGCACGUAGGCGGAUGUGCCAGUCAGGGGUGAAAUCCCGGAGCUCAACUCCGGAACUGCCUCUGAUACAGCACGUCUUGAGUUCGAGAGAGGUGGGUGGAAUUCCUAGUGUAGAGGUGAAAUUCGUAGAUAUUAGGAAGAACACCGGUGGCGAAGGCGGCCCACUGGCUCGAUACUGACGCUGAGGUGCGAAAGCGUGGGGAGCAAACAGGAUUAGAUACCCUUGUAGUCCCUGAGCGGGCUGGCAAGGCGCAU